GGAGUUAUUGUCUAUCGUUGGCCUCUAUAGUAGAAUAAGUCGGGGAGGCCUGAGAGGCAGUGGUUUACCCUGUGGCGGAUGUCAGCGGUUCGAGUCCGCUUAUCUCCA
rnacentral:tRNA from 1 species